GCUGCCCCUGGAGGCGUUGCAGGCGGGGCUGCCGUGCCGCGCGUGCGUCGUCAGGUGGCGGACAGCAGCGGGCUGGUCUACGCCAGGCACCCUGGGUGGGCCGCCGGGUGAUUGGUAGCCGGACACU